rnacentral:pre_miRNA from 1 species
UGGAAGACUAGUGAUUUUGUUGUUUGUUGUUUUAAAAGGACAACAAAUCAUUGUCUCCCUC